rnacentral:rRNA from 1 species
AACGAACGCUGGCGGCAUGCCUAACACAUGCAAGUCGAACGAGACCUUCGGGUCUAGUGGCGCACGGGUGCGUAACGCGUGGGAACCUGCCCUUAGGUUCGGAAUAACUCCCCGAAAGGGGUGCUAAUACCGGAUAACGUCUUCGGACCAAAGAUUUAUCUCCUUUGGAUGGGCCCGCGUUGGAUUAGCUGGUUGGUAGGGUAAAAGCCUACCAAGGAGACGAUCCAUAGCUGGUCUGAGAGGAUGAUCAGCCACACUGGGACUGAGACACGGCCCAGACUCCUACGGGAGGCAGCAGUGGGGAAUAUUGGACAAUGGGCGAAAUCCUAAUCCAGCAAUGCCGCGUGAGUGAUGAAGGCCUUAGGGUUGUAAAGCUCUUUUACCCGGGAUGAUAAUGACAGUACCGGGAGAAUAAGCUCCGGCUAACUCCGUG